CAGUAGGGAAUCUUCCACAAUGGACGAAAGUCUGAUGGAGCAACGCCGCGUGAGUGAAGAAGGUUUUCGGAUCGUAAAGCUCUGUUGUUGGUGAAGAAGGAUAGAGGCAGUAACUGGUCUUUAUUUGACGGUAAUCAACCAGAAAGUCACGGCUAACUACGUCGCCGG
rnacentral:rRNA from 1 species